CCUACGGGAGGCAGCAGUGGGGAAUAUUGCACAAUGGGCGAAAGCCUGAUGCAGCGACGCCGCGUGCAUGAAGAAGUCAUUCGUUAUGUAAAGCUCUAUCAGCAGGGAAGAAAAUGACGGUACCUGAGUAAGAAGCCCCGGCUAACUACGUGCCAGCAGCCGCGGUAAUACGUAGGGUGCACGCGUUAUCCGGAUUUACUGGGUGUAAAGGGAGCGUAGACGGCAGUGCAAGUCUGGAGUGAAAGGCGGGGGCUCAACCCACGGACUGCUGUGGAAACUGUACGGCUGGAGUGCAGGAGAGGUAAGUGGAAUUCCUAGUGUAGCGGUGAAAUGCGUAGAUAUUAGGAGGAACACCAGUGGCGAAGGCGGCUUACCGGACUGUAACUGACGUUGAGGCUCGAAAGCGUGGGGAGCAAACAGGAUUAGAUACCCUGGUAGUC
rnacentral:rRNA from 1 species